rnacentral:misc_RNA from 1 species
GAUGAAGAACGUAGCGAAAUGCGAUAAGUAAUGCGAAUUGCAGAAUUCCAGUGAGUCAUCGAAUCUUUGAACGCACAUUGCGCCCUUUGGUAUUCCGAAGGGCAUGCCUGUUCGAGCGUAAUUAUCACCCCUCAAGCCCUCGGCUUGGUGUUGGACGGUUUGGUGGAGGCCCCCUCGGGGGCUCCUGCCCCUCCCAAAGACAAUGACGGCGGCCUCGUUGGACCCCCGGUACACUGAGUUCUUCACGGGACACGUAUCGGACACAUGGGUUUACGGGACACGGUCUGCCUCCCCUCAGGGAGAAUCUUUCUAAGGUUGACCUCGGAUCAGGUAGGGAUACCCGCUGAACUUAAGCAUAUCAAUAAGCGGAGGA